rnacentral:rRNA from 1 species
UACAGAGGGUGCAAGCGUUAAUCGGAAUUACUGGGCGUAAAGCGUGCGUAGUCGGUUAUUUAAGUCGGAUGUGAAAUCCCCGGGCUCAACCUGGGAAUUGCAUUCGAUACUGGAUAGCUAGAGUUCGGCAGAGGGAAGCGGAAUUUCUGGUGUAGCGGUGAAAUGCGUAGAUAUCUGGAGGAAUACCGGUGGCGAAGGCGGCAUCCUGGACCGAUAUUGACACUGAUGAGCGAAAGCUAGGGGAGCAAACGGG